rnacentral:rRNA from 1 species
CCUACGGGAGGCAGCAGUGGGGAAUCUUGCGCAAUGGGCGAAAGCCUGACGCAGCAACGCCGCGUGCGGGAUGAAGGCCUUCGGGCUGUAAACCGCUUUCAGCAGGAACGAAAAUGACGGUACCUGCAGAAGAAGGAGCGGCCAACUACGUGCCAGCAGCCGCGGUGACACGUAGGCUCCAAGCGUUGUCCGGAUUUAUUGGGCGUAAAGAGCUCGUAGGCGGUCUAAUAAGUCGGGUGUGAAAACUCUGGGCUCAACCCGGAGACGCCAUCCGAUACUGUUAUGACUCGAGUUCAGGAGGGGAGCGGGGAAUUCCUAGUGUAGCGGUGAAAUGCGCAGAUAUUAGGAGGAACACCGGUGGCGAAGGCGCCGCUCUGGACUGAAACUGACGCUGAGGAGCGAAAGCAUGGGUAGCAAACAGGAUUAGAUACCCUGGUAGUCCAUGCCGUAAACGGUGGGCACUAGGUGUGGGUUUCAACUAACGAAAUCCGCGCCGUCGCUAACGCAUUAAGUGCCCCGCCUGGGGUAGGUACGGUCGCGAGAACGUAAACUUAAAUAGAAGUUAAGUACGGCGUUGAGUACGUUGCCGAACGGCGACGACGAGGGAGGAGG